AGUCAAUGGGAUUAGCUAAACCCAGAGGCGCAGUGAAAGCGGGGCGGACGUCCGCGUCCGCCUUGGGAGGAUGGCCCUCUCUAGGGGGGGUCCGCACUCCCGGGGCGCCUCGGCCUAGCCGCAGGCGCACCCUGAGCGUACACGUUGGGACCCGAAAGAUGGUGAACUAUGCCUGGUCAGGACGAAGUCAGGGGAAACCCUGAUGGAGGUCCGCAGCGAUUCUGACGUGCAAAUCGAUCGUCAGAGCUGGGUAUAGGGGCGAAAGACUAAUCGAACCAUCUAGUAGCUGGUUCCCUCCGAAGUUUCCCUCAGGAUAGCUGGCGUCCAUUUGGACUGGGACGAGUCUCAUCCGGUAAAGCGAAUGAUUAGAGGCCUUGGGGCCGAAACGACCUCAACCUAUUCUCAAACUUUAAAUGGGUGAGAUCUCCGGCUUGCUUGGCUGAAGCCGCGAGAGCCGCCGGAUCAGGGUGCCAAGUGGGCCAUUUUUGGUAAGCAGAACUGGCGCUGUGGGAUGAA
rnacentral:rRNA from 1 species